UGCUGGUCUACCUAGAAUCUCCAGUGCUAAUCCUUGAGUGGUAAAUAUGAGGGUGAGUGCUGGUGUUAUUUGGGGCCACUAGGUGUCACUGUUUAAAUGAAGACUUCCGCACUUUAUUGUAAGGGAUGAAAGUGAAUGGGUUGGCUGGGCUUAGAAGUUUGUUCACUGGUUGAGCUGAGGAUGAUUAAAGUUAUCCCUGUCUGAAAUGACAUCUGUGUGGAGUUCUGACUUACUGAGGCUCAACUUUUAAACGUGUUUAAGGUAGUUGCUGUGAGAAUGAAGUUUGUUUUCCUUUCAGAUUGAAGAUGUUGACUGUGGACUUUGAAGGAAGUCAUGUGAAAACUCAUCUUACAAUGCUUACAAUGUUGAGUUGAAGGAUCUUCAUGAUGAAAUUUCCAUAAACGGUAAGACUUCUAGAUAAUAUUCUCCCUCCCAUCCUCAGGGAGCUCCACUGGUUCCAGACCUGGGCCUAGACCCAAAGUGUAUGAUUCAUGUAAGCAGAGAAGACCUGUGAGUCUCAGGUGGGGUGUUCUUUUGCUGGGCCUGCCCUGGUCUUAAGGCUGUGAAAAGUGGCUGGGAGACUUUAACUUAGUUUGGUUUUCUUUGCUAGGUAUUUGUGAUAUGAGACAACGCUGAAUGGCUUUGCAGGCAAAUAAUAAGAUGGUUCUCCUGAUGUCUGUUAUCUCCCUGUGCUGGACCGGCUCUAACAUCAAUAAAACCAUCUCCCCAAAAUCAAAAAAGUUCCUUAGGUUUCAUCUAAGAAAGCUUUGGCAGUUGGUGAAAUUAU